AAGGAAUGCAUGAGUUUCAUUCCCACAUGCCAGUCAAGAUUUUUCUCUUCACGAUUUUUGUGUGCGCGUGUGACCAGAGAAUCAAAACACACACGCACACACGCUAAAAGGCAUUCACAGAAAAAUAUGCACAAUUGGAUGAUUGUGUUUGUUUGCAUGUGAGCAUAUGAAGUAUAACUUUUGUAGCCGACAAUUAUAUAUCUUAGCUAGAAAGUAACACAAUUGAUUUUAUUUAUGAUAAAUGGCUCAUUUCGGAGUUUCCAACACAUACAUCAUUGCUCAUCUAUCUAUACGGAACUGUUUUCCGGUUAGCGGAUCUUGUUUUCCCUUGGGGAUUUUGAUUUGCUUUUCAACCUAGAUCGAAGCUGUUGUUUUCAUUCUUAUCUCAUCUCUUUGAUUUUGGGUUGAAUAUUAUGUUUUUUUGUCCUUUAGAUCGAUCUACAUGAAAUUUCUAGAUUCCAUUUGCUUGGCCUAGAUUUUCUCUCUAUUCAAAGAUAUGCACUUGGCUCCUUUUCAAUAAGAAUCAAUCUUUACUUUUAAAGUGAAAGCCGAUGGGUUUCAGUAAAGUAUCUUGGCGAAAGGGUUGCGGUGGAGUUAGAUUAUUUUCGGUUGAUUUUUCGGAGGUUUAGCAGAGCCGGCGGCUUCUUAUAUUGAGGAUGGUCCAGCGAAAGAUCUCUUGAGGAUCAAUUCGAGCUAUCUUGGAGUUUAUAAUCUGCGAUAGAUAGGCAUCUAAGUUCACAAGCAAUGGAUGGAGUAGAAGUGGAGCAAGAAGACUUUGGCAAGUUACAGCGAGGUUACAAUGGAUUCUCUGGUAUCGAGAAGAGGAAGACGAAAGAUCGGUGUAGAACGUUCCUGUCGGCGAAGAAUCGAGGCGGCCAAGACAGCUGUCUCGCAUGAGGGACACAUAGCAUCAUCAUGAAUCCCUUGUUUCUGUAUCAAGUGGGCACGUGGUUAGACAGAGAUCACUAACCAACCUUUCAGCUUGGAUCUGUAAUUGUUGGGCUUUUUCUUGUCUUUUAUGUCAAUGAACCCGUUUGUAAAGUGUCAAACUUUGUAAAAACAGCCCAUUGGGUUUGUUUCAAUGAAAUUAUUGUCGACAAAAAAAAAAUAAAGUUGAGAUUUGUCACUUCUCAGUUCUCCACCUUAGCAAAGCAUGCUUCAAAAUUUCGACACCUUGUCCUCUGUUACUUUCUAAUUGGGCUCAGCACUUCACGUGAUUUGCUAACAUCAGUCUUUCUAAUUGGGCUCAGCACUUCUUACUAUCUAAUUCGGUGUUAUUGGGCUUUUAGAUAAAAACUCAUCUGACCCAUCUCCUAUCAGGGUUUCCCCUACUCCAGACCCCAAACAAUCUCCGCUCUUUCUCUCUCGCUCUCUUCGUCUCCUUAACACUAUUGCCAUGUCCUCUGUAACGUCAGCCGUCUUGGAGUUACAUCUCUUAAAUCUCUGCAUUUACUUCAAACCCAUUACUCAUCCGACUCUCUGUCAACUAGACAUAAUCAUUAUCAUCAAAGCUUGAUGGCUGGUCGUUGUUCAAACACCGCUGAGGUCCACCUUCUCCGGUUCUGGGAGGCUUGGAACAAGAAAGGGGGCGAACUGAUGAUGUCCACGUGCUCUUCCUUGAUGAGCAAUCGACCCUUAUCCAAGGAACUGUGAAUGCAAACCGACUCCACACGUACCAUGUUUUGUUUGUCUGUUGUUCCCUGACACUGUUAAAUCAACACAAAGCAUUUUUGAGCUAUUAUGUACAAUAAACCAUAACUCAGCCAAUCGGCUUACCAGGUCAGAGGUCACAACCCGUUUCGGUUCCACAAGAAAGAAGCAGCAGAGGAAAGUACGGGAAACACAGUCGAAAAGCUUCAGGGCGCAAAAAACGGAGGCUUCUUUAUCAAAGUAGAGUCAAUGUGUGUGUGUGUAGAUAUAUGCUACCUGGAAGCGGAGCUGUUACUUCCGGAUGUUGAGUGGAUGAGCCGAACGAAUAUACCGAACGAAUAUAUGUACAGAGACUAACUAACGUGGAGUAUGUGUUUCAAAAAAGAAAAACUAACGUGGAGUAUAUUAGUAUAAAACAAUUGUUUUGACAUUAAGCUAAAGCUGAUGUUAGGACGGAACAUACAUUCUUUGUAAAUCUCUCUGUAUAAACAGUGGUUGGAUGAUUAUGAGAGGCUUCAAUCUUUCUUUUUCUUCA